UACGGGGGGGGCAAGCGUUGUUCGGAAUUACUGGGCGUAAAGGGCUCGUAGGCGGCCAACUAAGUCAGACGUGAAAUCCCCAGGCUCAACCUGGGAACUGCGUCUGAUACUGGUUGGCUUGAAUCCGGGAGAGGGAUGCGGAAUUCCAGGUGUAGCGGUGAAAUGCGUAGAUAUCUGGAGGAACACCGGUGGCGAAGGCGGCAUCCUGGACCGAUACUGACGCUGAGGAGCGAAAGCCAGGGGAGCAAACGGG
rnacentral:rRNA from 1 species